rnacentral:rRNA from 1 species
AACGAACGCUGGCGGCAGGCUUAACACAUGCAAGUCGAACGCCCCGCAAGGGGAGUGGCAGACGGGUGAGUAACGCGUGGGAACAUACCCUUUCCUGCGGAAUAGCCCUGGGAAACUGGAAUUAAUACCGCAUAUGCCCUACGGGGGAAAGAUUUAUGGGGGAAGGAUUGGCCCGCGUUGGAUUAGCUAGUUGGUGGGGUAAAGGCCUACCAAGGUGAAGAUCCAUAGCUGGUCUGAGAGGGUGAUCAGCCGCAUUGGGACUGAGACACGGCCCAAACUCUUACGCGAGGCAGAAGUGGGGAAUAUUGGACAAUGAGCGAAAGCCUGCACCAGCCAUGCCGCGUGAGUGAUGAAGGCUUUAGGGAUGUAAAGCUCUUUCACCAAUGAAGAUAAUGACGGUAGUCGGAGAAGAAGCCCCGGCUAACUUCGUGCCAGCAGCCGCCGUAACAC